UACGAAGGGGGCUAGCGUUGCUCGGAUUGACUGGGCGUAAAGGGCGCGUAGGCGGCUUGUACAGUCAGACGUGAAAUUCCUGGGCUUAACCUGGGGGCUGCGUUUGAUACGUACGGGCUUGAGUUCGGAAGAGGGUCGUGGAAUUCCCAGUGUAGAGGUGAAAUUCGUAGAUAUUGGGAAGAACACCGGUGGCGAAGGCGGCGACCUGGUCCGAUACUGACGCUGAGGCGCGAAAGCGUGGGGAGCAAACAGG
rnacentral:rRNA from 1 species